UUGGAGGGCAAGUCUGGUGCCAGCAGCCGCGGUAAUUCCAGCUCCAAUAGCGUAUAUUAAAGUUGUUGCAGUUAAAAAGCUCGUAGUUGAAUUUCGAGAUCAAAUUGUUGGUCGUGCCUCGGUACGUACUGGCAUUAUUGAUUUCUCCCUUCCGAAGAACCUUGAUGUCAUUAAUUUGGUGUCUUGGGGAAUCAGGACCGUUACCUUGAAAAAAUUAGAGUGUUUAAAGCAGGCUCACGCUUGAUUACAUUAGCAUGGAAUAACGAAAUAGGACGUUUGAUCCUAUUUUGUUGGUUUCUAGGAUUGACGUAAUGAUUAAUAGGGAUAGUUGGGGGCAUUAGUAUUCAAUUGUCAGAGGUGAAAUUCUUGGAUUUAUUGAAGACUAACUACUGCGAAAGCAUUUGCCAAGGAUGUUUUCAUUAAUCAAGAACGAAAGUUAGGGGAUCGAAGACGAUCAGAUACCGUCGUAGUCUUAACCAUAAACUAUGCCGACUAGGGAUCGGAUGAUGUUAAUUUUUUAAUGACUCAUUCGGCGCCUUACGGGAAACCAAAGUGUUUGGGUUC
rnacentral:rRNA from 1 species